AUGAUGACGAUUUCGUCUGCUUCUGCCUCCGUCUCUUUCGAAACACCGUCGCAGAUCUAUCUUCGCUUAACUUCGUUCUCAUCGGAUUCACACCUUCGAUCUCAGCCUUCGACCUUAACUCGCUUCUAUUUGCGGUUUUCACGACAAACCACACCUCAGCUUCAAUGCGAUUCAAACUUCAGCUUGCUUCUAUAUCUGAUUCGCUUCCGAUGUGAUCCUCCUUCUUCGACUUCUCAGCAUCGUUUGUUACUAAGUAUAAGCCGAUGA